CCCCCCCAACACCCCUAUAUCCACCCCUAUACCCACCCCCCAGAAAUCAGCACCUGGCAGCUAUGGGGUAUCAAUAGGGGUGGGCAUCCCACCGCCCACCACCGCUUUGGGGACACGGGGGACAUGACCCCCUUUACCGGGUGACACUUUGGGGGACACGUCCUAUAGGGUCUCUGGAAUCCCACCCCCCCCACCCAGGGAACUGGGGUGCCCAGGACCCCAUGUAAAGGUUAUGGGGUGCCCAGGACCCCCAUACUCAGUGACCCUCAACCCCAGCCUGUAGGUGCCUCUAUAUGGGGUCCCUGAGACUCCAUGGGGAAUUGGGGUCCCCUGGACCCCCACGUAGAGGUCAUGGGGUGCCCUAUGUGGAAGCUAUGGGGUCCAUGAGAUCCCCAUGCUCAGCUUAUGGGGUGCCCAGGACCCCCAUACCCAGUGACCCCCCAACCCCAGGGCUGUGGGUGCCCCUAUAUGGGGCCCUGAGACCCUUAAGGGCAUUGGGGUGCGCAGGACCCCUAUUCAGAGGUGAUGGGGCUGUGGGUCACACCGAGGACAGUCCCAUAGCUUUGGGGUCACACAGCCUCUCUGUGGGGGGGGUCGGGGGGGUCGGAUUUCCCGGCGCGGUGUCGGUGUCGGCCCCGAGGUUUAAAAAUAAAGUAUCCAAAUAAUGGGGUCGGGGUCAUCCGACACUGCCCGGGGGGGAAAUAGGGACAUGGGAAAGGGGGGGGCACCACACAGCCCUGCGUGGGGGUCCCGGGCACCCCAUAUAGGGGUCCUGGGAACCCCAUAACCUCUGCAUGGGUGUCCUGGGUACCCCAAUUCGCCGUAGGGUCUCAGGGACCCCCUAUAGGGGCACCCAAAGCCGUGGGGUUGGG
ensembl:lncRNA